ACAGAGCAACCAUCUGGACUCUGAAGAAAGUUCAUAAAACCAGUAAGUAAUUGAUUUUAAUAAAGCCCAAAACCUGUUAAGAAAGUGAUUUGUAACCUGAGUCAUGAAAAGUAUUCUAGAUGUGUGGCCAGUGAGUUCUGCCAUUUUCACCAUUGAUGGAUAUUUCCAAAGAGUGAGCUGAUUCUGGUUAAAUCCAUGAGCGCUAAGCAGCUCCCUCUCAAUCUUGCUCCACAAUAGAGAACAGACUUGAGAGCCAGUGUCUACUGAGUUCAAGCAGGCACCGGUGUGUGUAUUCCAAAACUUUAUGCACCUAUCACCACCACCUCCUCCAGUGGCCAGCAGAUUUCCUUGGAAUGGACACCAGGCGAGAGCUUUCACUGCAGAAGUAUGGUCCUCAAGCCUAUGAAGCCAUUGUGAAGCUGCAUUUGAUGAUGUCACAGACCUAUCCCAUAUGUGAACGAGGUUAUCAUUGCCCCCACUUGCCAAUUGUUGGCCAGAAGCUGACCAUUUAAGCCCACAAACCUCUUGUUGGUGUCCUCUAUAAGUCUCCACAAUGUGUAAUCUAAUUCUCACAUCAUUAUUAAUUAUUUGGCCAUCCAUUCCUCCAGUCGUAAGGAUAUGGUUGUUCCAUGCCAGUGACCCAACUCGUGAUCUGUGGCCACCUCUCAAUGUUCUAAGCUGCCGAUUAGCAGCAGAAUCCCAUAACUGGACCUCAGAAUUGUUCAAGCCAAUGGCAAUGUGGUGACCAUCAGGAGCCCAAUUCACACUGGUAACAGGACCAAUUUCAUUAUCAAUUGUCACAAGUUCUGAGGUAGAACUAUCAGAAGCAUCCCACAGAUAAACUGUGUUUCCAAGAGCUACAGCUAGAACAUUGCUGCUGCCCCAAUCCAGCAAGUUCAGGUAGAAAUCAUCAACAAGGUCUGGAGCAUCCAAUGUCCUCUCAGAAGUCUGUGGAAUGUGUCUGCGGGGCUUAGUGGGUUUAGCCUGGAGGUGAGAUGGGGAAGUAUUCUCCUGCGGGAUCAAUUCAAUAGGAGCAGGAGGCUUGUCCUUAAAAGCUAGUAUUCGUGUCCGGUUCAGGUGCAAAGCUUCUGCUAGUCGCUUCCUGUAGGCCUCUCUUGAUGGCGAGAUCACUGCUGGGUUCUCUUUUGCUUGCUUACCCUCAGUUAGCAUGUAAUGGGCAUAGUCCCAAUCCAUUGCUGACCGAUUCGGAAUAAAUCUAUCCAAGUUGUCUUUAGAACUCCUUCGGAGG
rnacentral:misc_RNA from 1 species